GACGAACGCUGGCGGCGUGCUUAACACAUGCAAGUCGAGCGGUAAGGCCCUUUCGGGGGUACACGAGCGGCGAACGGGUGAGUAACACGUGGGUGACCUGCCCUCAGCUCUGGGAUAAGCCUGGGAAACUGGGUCUAAUACUGGAUAUGACUCCACGGUGCAUGUCGUGGGGUGGAAAGCCUUGUGCGGUUGGGGAUGGGCUCGCGGCCUAUCAGCUUGUUGGUGGGGUAAUGGCCUACCAAGGCGACGACGGGUAGCCGGCCUGAGAGGGCGACCGGCCACACUGGGACUGAGACACGGCCCAGACUCCUACGGGAGGCAGCAGUGGGGAAUAUUGCGCAAUGGGCGAAAGCCUGACGCAGCGACGCCGCGUGAGGGAUGAAGGCC
rnacentral:rRNA from 1 species